UGGAGUCUCCAUAAAGACUUCUUGAUUUCCACCACUGUGCUUCUCAGAUCAGCUAACAUUUAAAAUAAUCUGGCAGCUUUUUUGGGAUAAGUAGUCCUUUUUCUCCUGUUUUUUUUGAGAAUGAGUGUUGAGCUGUGGCUUGAUUGACAGGUGUCCGCAGAACUGCGACUGAAAGAGCUUCCUGUGUGCAGGCCGAUGGGAACAAAGACCGUGAAUGACCCAGGCAGAAGCCCCGCUGCGGUGGCCAUGGGGAAUCCUCUGGAAAGAAGCGAGGCACAUUAGUGGUCGUAUGCCAGCCAGAUUUGCCUUGUUAUUCAUGAUAACUAAUUGCUUCCCGGCGCACCCGGCCUUUUCCCAGGAAGACGCCUUCGCCACAGAUUGUAACACGAGCCUAGGACUUAAAGCUGUCACUCAAAUCUCAGUGUGACCUUUUCAGGAGAAAAGGAUGUUUUCAGCCACUUUCUACCAACAGACAAAGUGAAGGUUAAUGUACUGACUCACAGUGCUGUUGGACAGAAAUGGAUUGAGCCUGGAUAAAGCUGGAAUUUCAUCCAAGGAAGAAACUGGAACAGUAUUAUAAAGUCGUGCUGCCCACGAGCUUUUCCGGACGGGCAUCACUGGAAACUUGUGUCUUCUGUGAGCACAUGUUAUUGUCAAACUCUCAUG